rnacentral:rRNA from 1 species
GAUGAACGCUGGCGGCGUGCCUAAUACAUGCAAGUCGAGCGAACGGACGAGAAGCUUGCUUCUCUGAUGUUAGCGGCGGACGGGUGAGUAACACGUGGCUAACCUACCUAUAAGACUGGGAUAACUUCGGGAAACCGGAGCUAAUACCGGAUUAUAUUUUGAACCGCAUGGUUCAAAAGUGAAAGACGGUCUUGCUGUCACUUAUAGAUGGAUCCGCGCUGCAUUAGCUAGUUGGUAAGGUAACGGCUUACCAAGGCAACGAUGCAUAGCCGACCUGAGAGGGUGAUCGGCCACACUGGAACUGAGACACGGUCCAGACUCCUACGGGAGGCAGCAGUAGGGAAUCUUCCGCAAUGGGCGAAAGCCUGACGGAGCAACGCCGCGUGAGUGAUGAAGGUCUUCGGAUCGUAAAACUCUGUUAUUAGGGAAGAACAUAUGUGUAAGUAACUGUGCACAUCUUGACGGUACCUAAUCAGAAAGCCACGGCUAACUACGUG